rnacentral:rRNA from 1 species
AUGCACUGCCUCGCCCCCCACUUCCUGCUCCUCCUCCCGCUCCCCGUUGCGCCCCGCCACGCGCCACCCCAGACCCCACCGCCCACUCUCCUCCUGCCCUGCCGCCCAGCCCAAGCCCACGCCGCUCCGCUCCACCGCCCCUCCGCGCGCUCCCCCUCCCGCGCCGCCGCGCCGGUGUCCGACGAGGACGACGACGAGGAGGCCGACGAGGAGGAGGAGGAGGAGGACGAGCUAGACAUCCGCGAUGCGGACUACGACGAGGACGAUGACGGGGAUGGCGACGAGGAGCUGGAGGAGGAGAGCGGUGGCGAGGACGAGGAGGAGGGGGACGCGGCGGCCGAGGAUUCGCGGCAGGAGACCGCGGAGCGGAGGCAGCGGUCGGAGCAGUACAAGUCGAAGCAGGUGGCGAAGCUCGUCGCCGAGGUGCGGGAGUUCGGCGACGAUAUCAUUGACUACAAUGAGCUCGCUGGGAUCUACGACUUCCCCAUCGAUAAGUUUCAGCGCCUGGCUAUACAAGCAUUUCUAAGAGGCUCGUCCGUAGUAGUUUCUGCACCUACAAGUAGCGGGAAGACACUAAUCGCAGAAGCUGCAGCUGUGGCAACAGUUGCCAGAGGAAGGCGUCUCUUCUACACGACACCGUUGAAGGCCUUGUCAAAUCAGAAGUUCCGCGAGUUCCGGAAUACAUUUGGUGAUCAUAAUGUUGGUCUUCUUACAGGAGAUUCUGCUAUCAAUAAAGAUGCUCAGAUCCUAAUAAUGACGACAGAGAUUCUGCGUAAUAUGCUGUAUCAAAGUGUUGGUAUGUCAGCAUCCGAUGGUAGAUUAUUUGAAGUUGAUGUCAUUGUUUUGGAUGAAGUCCAUUACUUAAGUGAUAUCUCACGCGGAACUGUUUGGGAAGAAACAGUGAUAUAUUGUCCAAAGGAAGUCCAGCUUAUAUGCUUGUCUGCCACUGUUGCAAAUCCUGAUGAAUUAGCUGGCUGGAUUGGUCAGAUCCACGGGAAAACGGAGCUGGUGACAUCGAGCAAACGCCCCGUCCCACUAACUUGGCACUUCUCGAAGAAAUUUGCACUUCUACCACUUCUUGAUGGAAAGGGAAAGAAAAUGAAUAGGAAGCUGAGAAUGUCUCACGUCCAGAACAUAUCUUCUCCAAAAAGUGAAUUCUAUUACGUGAAAGGAAAGAGGAAGGUUAGACCAAAUAGAAAUGAGCAAGGUAAUAGAAGCCCAUUGGACAUAUCAAAACAGGUUCAAUUGUCCAAGCACGAGGUCACCAAUAUGCGCCGUUCCCAGGUUCCACUAAUACGUGAGACUCUGUCACAGCUUUGGGAAAACAACAUGCUUCCAGCUAUUUGGUUUAUCUUUAGUAGAAGAGGAUGUGAUGCAGCCGUUGAAUAUAUUGAGGAUUGUAGACUUCUGCAUGAUUGUGAGGCUAGUGAAGUUGAACUGGAACUUAGGAGGUUCAGGAUGCAAUAUCCUGAUGCUGUCCGGGAAAAUGCUGUGAAAGGACUCUUGCGAGGAGUUGCUGCCCAUCAUGCUGGUUGCUUGCCACUGUGGAAGUCCUUUAUUGAAGAACUGUUUCAGCGUGGCCUUGUUAAAGUAGUCUUUGCAACAGAAACCCUUGCUGCUGGGAUCAACAUGCCUGCUAGGACAGCUGUGAUUUCUUCUCUCAGCAAAAGAAUUGAUGCCGGGCGCCAGCUCUUAACCCCAAAUAACCUAUUCCAGAUGGCAGGUCGUGCUGGAAGGAGAGGGAUCGACACAGUUGGGCAUUCUGUUCUUGUUCAGACUACUAAUGAAGGGCCUGAAGAAUGUUGUGAUGUUAUCUUCGCUGGACUUGAGCCACUUGUUUCACAAUUUACCGCAUCAUACGGGAUGGUUUUGAAUCUCCUUGCUGGUUCGAAAGUUACUCAUAAGCAGAAAGAAUCAGGUGAUGUUAAGGGUAAACGUUCUGGAAGAACAUUGGAAGAAGCUCGGAAGUUAGUGGAGCAAAGCUUUGGGAAUUAUGUUGGGAGCAAUGUAAUGGUUGCUGCUAAAGAAGAGCUUGAGAGAAUUCAGAAAGAAAUACAACACCUCUCUUCAGAAAUUACAGAUGAAUUCAUUGACAGGAAAUGCAGGAAGGAAUUAUCCGAGGAAGACUAUGCUGAGAUUUCUCUUCUACAAAACAAAUUAAAGGAAGAGAAGAAGAUACGAAAUGAACUGAAAAAGAGGAUGGAACUAGAGAGAAUGGCUGCAUGGAAAACUCAAUUAGAAGAGUUUGAAAGUGGUCACCUCCCUUUCAUGUGCUUGCAGUAUAAAGAUAAAGAUUCAGUUCACCACACGAUUCCUGCUGUUUUUAUUGGAAGCCUCAACUCGUUUGAUGAUCAAAAGAUUGCCAGCAUGCUGGAAGAUGAUUCUAUUGGAACAGGCAAGCAAGAAGUUGAUAGUGAGGGACAACUUCUUUGUCCAUCAUACUAUGUUGCUUUGAGUUCAGAUAAUUCAUGGUAUCUAUUCACAGAAAAAUGGAUAAAAACUGUUUACCAGACAGGUCUACCUGCUGUUCCUUCAGUGGAGGGUGGGCCACUCCCUAGAGAAACCCUGAAGCAGCUCCUUUUGCGUGAAGACAUGAUCUGGGAUAAAAUCGCAAAAUCAGAACAUGGUUUUUUGUUAUGCAUGGAUGGAUCCCUAGACACAUGGUCGUGGAGUCUAAAUGUUCCUGUGCUUAAUAGCCUCUCAGAAGACGAUAAGGUGGAACGAUUCUCCCAGGAACAUCAGACCGCUGUAGAAUCUCACAAGCAACAGAGGAGGAAGGUUUCACAAUUGAAGAAAACAAUCAGGAGUACUAAGGGUUUUAGAGAAUUUCAAAAGAUCAUUGACAUGAGAAAUUUUACAAAAGAAAAGAUUGAGCGUUUGGAAGCUAGAUCCCGUCGUUUGACUAGACGCAUAAUGCAAAUUGAACCAACUGGUUGGAAAGAAUUUUUGCAGAUUAGCAAUGUCAUACAAGAGGCUAGAGUGUUAGAUAUCAACACCCAAGUAAUCUAUCCUUUGGGUGAAACGGCCGCAGCCAUACGAGGGGAAAACGAACUCUGGCUUGCUAUGGUUCUUAGGAACAAGGUCCUUUUGGAUCUGAAGCCAUCUCAACUGGCAGCAGUGUGUGGAAGCUUAGUGUCAGAAGGGAUCAAACUUCGUCCUUGGAAGAAUAGCAGUUUUGUGUAUGAACCGUCCUCAGUUGUUGUUGGUGUCAUAAACUAUUUAGAAGAGCAGAGAAACUCACUCCUCGAUCUCCAAGAGAAACAUGGCGUAAAGGUUUGGCACAUGAUGUUCCUAUUCUCCUGUGUCUUUAAAUCAAUAGUUGCCCUCGUUACUUUUCUCAUCUACUUGCUUCUUGGCAUGCAGAUACCUUGCGAAAUAGAUACCCAGUUUGCUGGAAUGGUUGAAGCCUGGGCGUCAGGGUUGACAUGGAGAGAGAUAAUGAUGGACUCUGCAAUGGAUGAUGGAGAUUUAGCCCGUCUGCUCAGACGAACGAUGGAUUUACUAGCUCAGAUUCCAAAAUUGCCAGAUAUAGAUCCGGUUCUCCAGAAAAAUGCACAAAUUGCUUGCAGCGUCAUGGAUCGAGUACCGCUAAGUGAGCUUGCUGGCUGA